CUGAAAUAGUCUUGGCUAUCGGACCCGCAGUCCACCCGUUCAAUUUGGUGAAAUGGUCUGACCGGUUCACUAAGAAGAUCCGGUUAAAUAGAAAGAGUCAUUCGCGAUCCGGACAUUACUAGAUGAGACAAAAACAAUAAAACCCAUUACAAACUAGGCAUUUGUUGCAUCCAGUGGGGACAUAAUUACUGAUUAUAAUGACUUAUACUGUCUUUUUAGGCGUUGCAUUGCGUAUCACGCCGCGUAAACAUAAAACCAUGUCUGCAUUUGUGAUCUGAGAAACAACAAGCCUACUCUAUUGCUCAAAACUUGCAUUUGAAUCAUCAUUGGCAAAUUAUUUAAAAUAUAAAAAACAUACUUACAGGCUGUGAGUCAGAAGCGCCAGACUGUCCUUGCAAAGUUUGAACUGCCCAAAUUUGAUAGAAACAGUCUUUGUGACAGGAAACAGUCCUCAACCGCCAUAAAAUGUGCAGCAAACAUCUGAAUAUUUAGGUUGGACUAUUCUGGAACAGUGUUGAAAUACAACUUAACCUCUUGAUUUCUAGUCCUGUCCUCUUUUGGAAGGCCAAACAAAGUAGUUUCACUUUCACAAUGAAACACACAGUGACUCCACAACAAGGCAGAUUUUAUUGUAGGACAGCAGAGUGUGAGAGCAGGAAGGGACCAGAACAUGUAGGCCGAAUCCAGACCUGGGACUGCACUUCAGCCCCCCUAUAUGUUUGUAGCAGUGUACUGCCACCUGUUCCAAAGCAACGCCAUAAUGUAUCUUUUAAAGGAAGAUGUAAAUUAAGGAGUGUCAGGGCCAGUAGCAGAGCUGUGGUCUGGACUGUAGGGUCUGUGUAUCGGGCUCGGUCCCGUUCUCUGCCUGUGUUAAUGAAUUGCUGACAUGAGUGCCCAGACUGGCUCACUGCAGGCCCGGAUCAGGAUUGAUGUCGUGGUCACUGUGGAGAGAAGCUGCGGCUGCUGUUUAGAGCUAUGAGUGAUGGACGGGGACCCACUGUUCUUCGGCUCCUUGGCCUUAACCUACUGUUCCAUGAGAUGUUAAACAAUAUUUAAUCAAACCAUGCAUAGUGCUAGACCACAGAAAGAAGGCAGUUCAUUUUCAGCUGUCCAUAGCUUGAAAGUAUUUGAAUGAUUUUUGACUUUAAUCAUGGACUGAGGCGUUUCAGAAGAAUGUUAUACAGUAGACAUAUUGAAAUGUAAAUAUCAACAGAGCUUAUUUUAACACUCGUGUGAUGUGAUUUUUUUGUAACAUGGCAUCAUCUGUAGUUCAUGCACAUUCAUUGAAUAUGUGAAGAUAACGUGAUUGUGAUAAAAAUUUUUUUGGAUUUUAGGAUUUUAAACUCUUUACAUAAAACUCUUUAUACAAUUUAACAUUAAUAAUGAAAGCUCUAAUAAAGUAACAUUGUUUUUUUUUUAUAUCUAAACACUCACCCUCUUUUAUUGGUCGAACAAACAGAAGUCACUCCAUUGGUUGAGCCAACAUUUACUUAGGAUACUGUAAACCGUGUAUAUAUAGAUUAAAAUUUCAAAAUGUCAAUAUUUUUUCUCCACACUAAAAUAUCAAUAUAUGUGUCAUUCCAGUGAAGCUUGGCCCAUAAAGUUGAAGGGGAGAGCUCUUCACCAACACUCACCGAUUCUUGUUUGUCUUAAUGAGAUCCAGGCUGAAUAAUUAAAAUGUGGACUUUAUUACCUUUCAUAACAUACAGCUACAACUUCAUGUCAUUUCCACAGCACUGCACUUAAACGAUACUAAUGAAAACAAGCUCAUUAAGAUAGACGGAAUGGCUACAAGCCAAUUAAUUACCGCUGAAGUUUGUUCAGUAAAAGUUAUCCAUUGACUUGAUGAACUUCCUUUUUUUCAUUUUGUUUUCAGUUGAGUAAACCAGUCUAGAAACAAAGUAAAACCGACCUGCUGAUCUUUGAAAAGGUUGUUUAAUGUUUGGUCUAACAUGAUGGCAUACAUUGAGUUUUCUACAUUGAGUUCAUCUUGCUUUCAAGGCCAGCUGGGAAGACAGAGGAACAUUGUCACUGUUGUACAGCUGUGAAAUGCAUGUGGAGGGAUGGAAAGGGAGUGCACUCUUAUGAGUGUGUAUGUGUAAUAAGAGAAGAGAGUGCAAUAUACUCACGUUAAUCAUAGUGAAACCAUGGCACCUGAGAGAAAGAGGAAGAAACGAGGGAGCAAAGACACACAAAUUGCCACAGAGACAUAAUGGCAACCUUAAACUUCCUCUCAAAAGUGGCCUUGUGCUUGUUUUGCUGUGGGCCUGUCAUUUGCUAACCGGACUGACAUGAUGUGUAAGUUUCAGACUUGAUGUGUGAUAGCAGGUUGGAGACUUUAGGACUCAAAGGGGGCGAUAGCAUUACUUUUAAAUAUCUGUAGCACUGUUAUUAGUUAUAAAAAUGUAAUCUCGUUAGUCAGUUGGUUUAUAACCAACCAGGCGGGUAUUCCAGAAAGUAGGUUAUGCGACAUAGCCUGGUAAGUUUACAGACCUCAACUUUUGGCUCCAAAAAGGUCAAUUUCAGGGUAUGUAAGCAGCCACAGUGGUUGUAGCCAAUGGUUUUCUUUCGUUUUCUUUCUUUCUUUCUUUCUUUCUUUCUUUCUUUCUUUCUUUCUUUCUUUCUUUCUUUCUUUCUUUCUUUUUUCUUUCUUUCUUUCUAAUCUUGGACAUCAUGGAUCUACAGUGGGACUUUUUUAUACUCUG
ensembl:lncRNA